rnacentral:rRNA from 1 species
UACGUAGGGUGCGAGCGUUAAUCGGAAUUACUGGGCGUAAAGCGUGCGCAGGCGGUUCUGUAAGUCAGCUGUGAAAGCCCCGGGCUUAACCUGGGAACUGCGGUUGAAACUACAGGACUAGAAUCUGGCAGAGGGGGGUGGAAUUCCACGUGUAGCAGUGAAAUGCGUAGAGAUGUGGAGGAACACCGAUGGCGAAGGCAGCCCCCUGGGUUAACACUGACGCUCAGGCACGAAAGCGUGGGGAGCAAACAGG